rnacentral:rRNA from 1 species
ACGCUCGACACCUACGGGGGCAGCAGUGGGGAAUAUUGCACAAUGGGGGAAACCCUGAUGCAGCGACGCCGCGUGAGCGAAGAAGUAUUUCGGUAUGUAAAGCUCUAUCAGCAGGGAAGAAACUGACGGUACCUGACUAAGAAGCACCGGCUAAAUACGUGCCAGCAGCCGCGGUAAUCUGAGCGGGCUGGCAAGGC